AACGAACGCUGGCGGCAGGCUUAACACAUGCAAGUCGAACGCCCCGCAAGGGGAGUGGCAGACGGGUGAGUAACGCGUGGGAAUCUACCCAUCUCUACGGAACAACUCCGGGAAACUGGAGCUAAUACCGUAUACGCCCUUAGGGGGAAAGAUUUAUCGGGGAUGGAUGAGCCCGCGUUGGAUUGGCUAGUUGGUGGGGUAAAGGCCUACCAAGGCGACGAUCCAUAGCUGGUCUGGGAGGAUGAUCAGCCACAUUGGGACUGAGACACGGCCCAAACUCCUACGGGAGGCAGCAGUGGGGAAUAUUGGACAAUGGGCGCAAGCCUGAUCCAGCCAUGCCGCGUGAGUGAUGAAGGCCUUAGGGUUGUAAAGCUCUUUCACCGAUGAAGAUAAUGACGGUAGUCGGAGAAGAAGCCCCGGCUAACUUCGUGCCAGCCGCCGCGGUAAUAC
rnacentral:rRNA from 1 species